CACAUACAUAAAUAUGGGGCAGAUAACCACCAAUAUUAUUCCCCAUAUUUGCAUAUAAAUUAAGAAGAGAGUCCACUUCCCACGCAUCAGCAUAUCAUAGUUUCAUAGUUUGUCUUCGAAAAUGAACAAACCAGAGAAGCAACAGAAUCAACCUCCAGCAGGAUAUCAAACUGAGAAUACCCCUGCAGCUAAGAAGAAGUGCUUUCCUCAGAUGAAAAAGAAAGGAGAUAGAGGCUUCAUUGAGGGAUGCCUCUUUGCUCUAUGUUGCUGCUGGCUCUGCGAGGCUUGCUUCUGAAUUCCAAUAUGGAUGUACCAUAACAACGUCUACAUUGCUUAUCUAGUGUCAGAAUCUUCUACUAAUUCUCUGUGUGGUCAAAUAUUGUAAUAAAAUGUUUUUUGCUGUAUAAAUGACACUGCUUUACUCCCCCCUCCCCUCAUUUCUCUCAAACCAUCAGUUCCAUGUUCUUGAUUUGCAUCAUUAUCUAAGUCAUCUCUACAAAGAAUUUCCGUUCACCUCA